GAGUUUGAUCGUGGCUCAGAUUGAACGCUGGCGGCAGGCUUAACACAUGCAAGUCGAGCGGAAACGAUGUAGCUUGCUACAGGCGUCGAGCGGCGGACGGGUGAGUAACGCGUAGGAAUCUGCCUAGUAGUGGGGGACAACAUGUGGAAACGCAUGCUAAUACCGCAUACGCCCUACGGGGGAAAGGAGGGAUCUUCGGACCUUUCGCUAUUAGAUGAGCCUGCGUAAGAUUAGCUAGUUGGUAGGGUAAAGGCCUACCAAGGCGACGAUCUUUAACUGGUCUGAGAGGAUGGCCAGUCACACUGGGACUGAGACACGGCCCAGACUCCUACGGGAGGCAGCAGUGGGGAAUAUUGGACAAUGGGCGCAAGCCUGAUCCAGCCAUGCCGCGUGUGUGAAGGAGGCCUUAGGGUUGUAAAGCACUUUCA
rnacentral:rRNA from 1 species